UUUUCCUACGGGACGCAGCAGUGGGGAGUAUUGCACAAUGGGGGAAACCCUGAUGCAGCGACGCCGCGUGAGCGAAGAAGUAUUUCGGUAUGUAAAGCUCUAUCAGCAGAGAAGAAAAAUGACGGUACCUGAGUAAGAAGCACCGGCUAAAUACGUGCCAGCAGCCGCGGUAAUACGUAUGGUGCAAGCGUUAUCCGGAUUUACUGGGUGUAAAGGGAGCGCAGGCGGUGCGGCAAGUCUGAUGUUAAAGCCCGGGGCUCAACCCCGGGACUGCAUUGGAAACUACCGAACUAGAGUGUCGGAGG
rnacentral:rRNA from 1 species